GCCUGGGUGGCUCAGUCAGUUAAGCAUCCGGCUUCAGCUCAGGUCAUGAUCUUGCGGUUCGUGGGUUCAAGCCCCACCUCAGGCU
rfam:Felis catus isolate Cinnamon breed Abyssinian chromosome C2, whole genome shotgun sequence.